ACGGUAGUCACGUUUUGGCGGGAAAGUAAGACCCUUAUUAAACUAAAGAAAAAUACGUCACGUGUUAGCAGCUCCUCCCUGGAUACAAAACCUCCCACAGCCUUUCAACCUCGGCCCUGACUUCAUUGCACUCUUGAAGUUUUUCCCACCAUAUUGCUCCGAGUGACGGCUGUGGUCUGGAAAUGUUCUACCCCCCCAUCUCUUGGGACUCCGUAUGGAGGAAUGUGGCAGGCUUUGGAAGAAGACAAGCCUGCAGCUCCACCCAACCCUCCCUGCCUGCUCACCCUCUCCCAGUCACGCACAGCUAAUCCCAGGGAUCUCUCGAGGUGAGAGGUUGACAAGCAAAGAGAACAGAGGAAAGACAAGGGGUUAGAGCCUGGCAGUGUACAGAGGACCCUUCCAUACAUUGAUGACACCCCCACCUGAUUCUGACAGGAGCCUUUUUAGAAGUUGGAUGUUUGCCUGUUGGACUUUCUUCUGAAAAAACGAUGACAUUGGAUUGAAAAGUCGUGCUUUGGGACGAUCUGUGGUUUGAUGUGU